CUCUUCCACAUUUGCAGCUAUGAUCUUGUGGAUCUUUGUGAGUUCUGUCCAAAGACUGCUUCUAGAAGAAGGUGCUUAGCCCGUUGGCAUCCCGUGGGGUACAAGCCUUGCCAGGGGCAAAUCCAUCAGGCUGCUUUCCAAAUUUGAAAAGUUUUGUCAACGUGGAAGAAAGGAGCAAACUGAGGGAGGAAAGGAGC